CCCUGCUGCGUCAAAAAAGGAAGCAGCCAUGAAGCCAAAGAGACACAGCCUGGAUUUUCCUGCCAUCAGGAAGCAGUUCCUUGUAUCUCGUCAUUCUCCUCACGUAAUGGUGAACACCUGCAAGUACCUCCUGGCAAAUCUGCCUUGGCGGAGCGAGGAAGAGAGAGAACGCAACGAAAGAGAGACAGACUGUGGGGACUUUUUCUGUAAGGGGUUCCUCUUCCUUCCUGAACUGCUCUCCCCCUCCAUUGUCCAAGUUUGCCAAUAAAUAAGGCCAUUUAAAAAUUAACAGUAUGCCAUUUGGAGGCAGAAAAACCACAAGUGAGAUGUUCUAGGUUAAAUCGGCAGAUUUAAUGACUCUUUGUAAAAUGCUUGGGGGGGGAAUAUAGAAUAUUUCUCACACACUUAAGUAUGCAGGCAUAAUACAAGCAGAGUAAGCUCUAACUCUUCUGAGAGAAGAAUUGUUAAAGAAAGAGAGAGGGAUGCAGAGUUCAAACACCUCUGUCCAUAAAUCUACUGAUUUCUAUUUUUCUGGCACCCAAUCAAGGAGUGUACAGGCUGUGUUGUGUUCAGGCAUGGAGUCCCCUCUCUUGUUAAGGCAGAGGGUGUGGACACCUUGAUACAUAGUCCAGCUGUAGACUUCCCAGUGCCCCCCUCUGGCCUGGCUUUUCAUGAAGGUUUGCUGAAGUCUAACCAUAGGGCAUGAGAAAAGGAUUGAUGGAUUUGUAUUCCCGAAGACUUUCACGAGAAUUGAUUGAUGGAUUGUUCCUGAGUACUGUUAACCUUCCCUUUGUAUGAGGGCUGGAAUAGACUUGAACCACUGCCUGUCAACAUUUAGAAGACUGCCUGUUCUAAAUGGACCAUUGGCAUUUUACUUGUACAAGACAGCACACUACAUUCCCAAAAGCCAAGGCAUUCAUUUUGCCAUCCAGGUUCAACCUGUCUGAAAAGGACACCAUUGCAGCAGAGCACAGGAACCCUGCUCACCCAGAGGUGGGAGGCCCAUGGCGUCAUCUGGAUGACGUUUCCUGUUUAUAUCCUGUCCUGAGUCUUUGUACCAGUUGGAAUUCAGUUCCUGCCAACAGGAAAGCAGAGAUAAUUCAUGCAGGAAGC